rnacentral:rRNA from 1 species
GAUGCAGCAUGCCGCGUGUGUGAAGAAGGCCUUCGGGUUGUAAAGCUCUUUCAGUGGGGAAGAUAAUGCCGGUACCCACAGAAGAAGCUCCGGCUAACUCCGUGCCAGCAGCCGCGGUAAUACGGAGGGAGCGAGCGUUGUUCGGAAUUACUGGGCGUAAAGGGCACGUAGGCGGUUCGUUAAGUCCGAUGUGAAAGCCCUGGGCUUAACCUAGGAAUGGCUUUUGAUACUGGCGCACUGGAGUGCGGGAGAGGAAGGUGGAAUUCCCCGUGUAGAGGUGAAAUUCGUAGAUAUCGGGAGGAACACCAGAGGCGAAGGCGACUUCCUGGACCGGUACUGACGCUGAGGCGCGAAAGCGUGGGGAGCAAACAGGAUUAGAUACCCUGGUAGUCCACGCUGUAAACGAUGAGUGCUGGCCGUUGGACCCAUUCACCCCUUUGGUGGCGAAGCUAACGCGAUAAGUCCUCCGCCUGGGGAGUACGGCCGCAAGGUUAAAACUCAAAUG